rnacentral:rRNA from 1 species
CAAUAGUGUAUACUAGUGUUGUUGCGGUUAAAACGUUCGUAGUCGAAUUAGGUGCCAACAGGCCUCUGAGGGGCUUACGGCUACUGCCUCUGGUCACUGAGGUGCUUUGUUCGCCGAUGUGGGCCACGAGCGCAAGUUACCAUGACGAAAUCUUGGUGUUCAUAGCAAGCACGGCGUGCCCUGAACACAACAGCAUGGGAUAACACCGAGAGGACUUCGGCCUGUUACGCGUUGGCAGCCAGGACCGAAGGAAUGAUUAACAGGAGCAGUCGGGGGUAGUCGUAUUCCGUUGCUAGAGAUGAAAUUCUUUGACCAACGGAGGACGAACAACAGCGAAAGCAUCUACCAAGUAUGUUUCCAUUGA